CCUACGGGGGGCAGCAGUGGGGAAUAUUGCACAAUGGGCGCAAGCCUGAUGCAGCGACGCCGCGUGAGGGAUGACGGCCUUCGGGUUGUAAACCUCUGUUAGCAUCGAAGAAGCGAAAGUGACGGUAGGUGCAGAGAAAGCGCCGGCUAACUACGUGCCAGCAGCCGCGGUAAUACGUAGGGCGCGAGCGUUGUCCGGAAUUAUUGGGCGUAAAGAGCUUGUAGGCGGUUGGUCGCGUCUGCUGUGAAAGGCUGGGGCUUAACCCUGGUUUUGCAGUGGGUACGGGCUAACUAGAGUGCAGUAGGGGAGACUGGAAUUCCUGGUGUAGCGGUGGAAUGCGCAGAUAUCAGGAGGAACACCGAUGGCGAAGGCAGGUCUCUGGGCUGUAACUGACGCUGAGAAGCGAAAGCAUGGGGAGCGAACAGGAUUAGAUACCCCAGUAGUC
rnacentral:rRNA from 1 species